GCCCUGGUGGUGGAAUUGGUAGACACAAGGGAUUUAAAAUCCCUCGGCGUUCGCGCUGUGCCGGUUCAAGUCCGACCCGGGGCACCA
rnacentral:tRNA from 1 species